rnacentral:rRNA from 1 species
AUUGAACGCUAGCGGCAGGCCUAACACAUGCAAGUCGAACGAGGGGCGGACGGGUGUGUAAUGUCUGGGAAACUGCCUGCUGGAGGGGGAUAACUACUGGAAAAGGUAGAUAAUAACGCAUACCCUCGGAUGUGCCCAGAUGGGAUUCGCUAGUAGGUGGGGUAAAGGCUCACCUAGGCGACGAUCCCUAGCUGGUCUGCGAGGAUGACCAGCCACACUGGAACGGAGACCGGGUCCAGACUCCGACGCGAGGCAGCAGGGGGGAAUAUUGCACAAUGGGCGCAAGCCUGAUGCAGCCAUGCCGCGUGUAUGAAGAAGGCCUUCGGGUUGUAAAGUACUUUCAGCGGGGAGGCGUUACCCGCAGAAGAAGCACCGGCUAACUCCGGGCCAGCAGCCGCGGUAAUAC